GUGUUCAGGUGUUACAUCGCCGGAGAGCCCAACAAGGAGGGGCACAAGGUGACCUGCCUGCCUUGGAACGAUGAACCUCUGGCGCCCGAGACCAACCUUAUGAAAGAAGAGCUGGCCAAGGUGAACAGGAGAGGGAUCCUGACCAUCAAUUCCCAGCCGAACAUCAACGGCAAGCCCUCCACCGACCCGAUUGUGGGCUGGGGUCCCGACGGAGGCUACGUCUUCCAAAAGGCUUACCUGGAGUUCUUCACCUCCAGCGAGAACGUCAGAGCCCUCCGAAGAACUACGGCCAGCGAGUGAAUUACCACAUUGUCAAUGUCAAGGUGCGUCCUUCCUCAGUGCCAGAUUACCAAACAGACAGACUGGGCACUGGCCUACGAGCCUAGGGGCCCCUCAACAACGGAUCAAAAUAAUAUUGAUUGGCAUGGUUGGCCAAUUGGUGUCAAGGAAGGACAGGAUGUUUUUUAUGUAUGCUACCACAGCAGCAAG